rnacentral:rRNA from 1 species
AGUGAACGCUGGCGGUAGGCCUAACACAUGCAAGUCGAACGGCAGCACAGUAAGAGCUUGUUCUUACGGGUGGCGAGUGGCGGACGGGUGAGGAAUACAUCGGAAUCUACUUUUUCGUGGGGGAUAACGUAGGGAAACUUACGCUAAUACCGCAUACGACCUACGGGUGAAAGCAGGGGAUCUUCGGACCUUGCGCGAUUGAAUGAGCCGAUGUCGGAUUAGCUAGUUGGCGGGGUAAAGGCCCACCAAGGCGACGAUCCGUAGCUGGUCUGAGAGGAUGAUCAGCCACACUGGAACUGAGACACGGUCCAGACUCCUACGGGAGGCAGCAGUGGGGAAUAUUGGACAAUGGGCGCAAGCCUGAUCCAGCCAUACCGCGUGGGUGAAGAAGGCCUUCGGGUUGUAAAGCCCUUUUGUUGGGAAAGAAAAGCAGCAGGUUAAUACCCCGCUGUUCUGACGGUACCCAAAGAAUAAGCACCGGCUAACUUCGU